rnacentral:tRNA from 1 species
CAAGAAGUAGUUUAAUAAGAAUGUUGGCUUUGGGGGCCAGUGGAGCAGGAUUAUGUCUGCCUUCUUGA